rnacentral:rRNA from 1 species
CAGUCGCCACGGUAAUACGAGGGGGGCAAGCGUUGUUCGGAAUUAUUGGGCGUAAAGGGUGCGUAGGCGGUUUGAUAAGUCUGAUGUGAAAUCUCUGGGCUCAACCCAGAGUCUGCAUCGGAAACUGUCAGGCUUGAGAGUGGGAGAGGUGAGUGGAAUUUCCGGUGUAGCGGUGAAAUGCGUAGAUAUCGGAAGGAACACCUGUGGCGAAAGCGGCUCACUGGACCAUUUCUGACGCUGAUGCACGAAAGCUAGGGGAGCAAACAGGAUUAGAUACCCGAGUAGUCCCUGUCUCUUAUAC